rnacentral:rRNA from 1 species
GAGACUCUGUGCGCGUGCAUAUCAAUAAGCGGAGGAAAAGAAACUAACUAGGAUUCCCUCAGUAACGGCGAGUGAAGCGGGAAGAGCUCAAAUUUGAAAUCUUCAAGGUUUUACCUUGACGAAUUGUAGUUUAAAGAAGUGUUUUCUGUUUGAAGUUGGCUAAAAGUUCUCUGGAAUAGGACAUCAUAGAGGGUGAGAAUCCCGUAUUUGAUCAUUCCUUCUAGCUUUGUGAUACACUUUCAAAGAGUCGGAUUGUUUGGGAAUGCAGUCCAAAAUGGGUGGUAAAUUUCAUCUAAAGCUAAAUACUGGCGAGAGACCGAUAGCGAACAAGUACCGUGAGGGAAAGAUGAAAAGAACUUUGAAAAGAGAGUUAAACAGUACGUGAAAUUGUCAAAAGGGAAGCGUUUGACACCAGUGUUGUUUAGUUGAAAAUCAAUUCAAUAAUUUUUGAUUCUGAGUAGUAUUGACUUCAUCAGCUUGCUGCUUUCUUCUCAGAAAUUAUUGAAUGCACUUUUCAGUUAACAAGUCAACAUCAAUUUCUUUUGUUGUAAAAGGGUAGGAGGAAGGUGGCUUGCGCUUCGGCUCAAGUGUUUAUAGCCUUUUAUCUCUGCAAUCGGAGAGAUUGAGGUCUGCAGCGUAGAUCCUUCGGGGUUAGAUACAUUGGUGCUAAGCUAUAGCCUUGUAUAGACAACUUGUUGACUAUGCUCAGUCAUGUAGCUUACUCGCUGAUGCUAUUUUACCUACGCUUAGGAUGUUGAUCUGUAGUGCGUGCGC